rnacentral:lncRNA from 1 species
GUUGGUUUGCUUAGCCACAGGGAUUAGCAGAUCAGUUUCAGAACCAGUCUAUGAGUUUAGCAAAAGGAAUCCAUGAGGGAUAGUUCUAGAACUUCCCAUUUCAACUUUAGUGGGUGACCAGCCUUGUUUUCCUCACUGAUUUUACACUGUGGACAGAAUAGAACACUUCCAUCUUCUGCCUCAAUGAUUUUGCCUCAUGAGCAGCACUGGAGUCCCAAGAGAACACGUUUAUCUGUGGCCUCAAUACAAGCAAGGACAUUUUCCUCGGGUUCCACAGACACUGUUGUUAGAAAGGGGCUCGCUGUGCCCUAAUGAGCAAUGAGAAUUGUAGGAAUGGAAUGUUGUUUCUGCGUUAGAUAUUGAAAAAGGGGAACUGAUCUAAAGAUGUAGACCUAAGCAAAAGAUGCUCCUAACAGGGAGCAUCCUGAUGCCGACCUGUUGCAUCCCAGCCUACCCACACAGUGAGACAAUCCGGCCUUGUGUGCAGGCCCUGGUUUCUCUGAUGUUGGAUAACCCUGCUGUUCUGCUGAGGGUCUCUUAUCCAAACAGAACAGCCUUACAACACGCUUUCCAGCCCAUAAUGCUAUACCCACACUAUUCGCAACAUUUAAAAACUAUUGCAGUUUUGCAAAUCACAUCCAGCCCGGCCUUGAACACCUCCAGGGACGGGGCAUCCACAGCCUCUCUGGGCAGCCUGCGCCAGCACCUCACCGCUCUCUCGACCGCUGUCGCUGUUUGGUUUUUAGUCCCAACUCCCUUGGCCAUCCUAGCGAGGACCUCACGUGGAUCGACUGCAACGAAGGAUCCUGGCAGAGAGCCCCGCACCACCACGCUGCCAUGGGUGAAGGAGAUCGACAGAGCCCUUCCGUGCACCGAGAGGUGACGAUCCAGCCGGGGGAUGAAGAAGUCCGAACGCGGCAGGGUAACGCCGGGAGGCAGCGGGAAAGGGCUGAGGGAGGGGGAAAACGAGCCCGAGGCCACGGGAGGGUCCCCGGGCAGCCAGUGCCGAGGGCCGUGGGCGCAGGAAGG